GGACGAGCUGUUUAGAUUUGGAGCUAUUUCUGGCGACAGUAGAGUAAAUGUAGCUGAGCUCAGACACAAAAGGAAUCAAUUUAACAAUGCGAAGUUCGUAUAUGUAUCGAAGUGGCCAAAAUUAUAUCAGAAUGACCCAUACAUAGAACGUUGGUAUCGAUCCAUGGAUGGGAGCUUCGGUGCAGAGGCCCCAGACGGGGUUCACACAUUUUGGACAGAUAAUAAUGAGAUUUCAUCGUCCUAGAUACAAGACAAUAGCUAGAAUAAUGCAGAUAUGUUUGAAAAAUAAAGAAUUUUGAAACUAUGGAUUAAAUAUUCCAGAGAGACUA